rnacentral:lncRNA from 1 species
AUUUAUAGGGAGAGGAUGAUGCACAAACUUCAAAUUUCGUCCAUUCCUUUUGCUCCAAGCAUAUGCCAUCUAUUCCAUGCCCAAAAAUGCUCCAAAAUGCUCCAAAAUGCAGUUCUUUGCCACAUUAACCCUUUGGACCUACAAACACACAAAAAUAGCUUAAAAUACUAAAAUAACUACGAACUAACAACAUAAAUGCCAAGAAACAAGCUAAUUAAGUCGCAUAAAUAUGCUCCUAUCAACUAUCAUAGGGGUUCCGGCUAACAUGUUAUAUUUAUAUGAAAUUAUUCUUACCUGAAUUGCUUACUCUGUUAUAUCUUGGCAUGGCAUACAUAUGAAUAUGAUUAUAUGAAGCAUGAAUUGAGUUGAUAGUUUACAUAUAUAUUUAUGUAUAUGCUUAUAUCUUAAUUCUGGGAAAAAUUAUACAUGUUUUACAGUGAAGGGUUAGAUAUGUGGAUAAAUGAAAUGGUUUUGUAAAACAUUUGUUUUUGCCCACUCAUGUUUUUUGUUUUGCACCCCUCCAAGUUUUAGGUAAGCUUGUUGUCGGUGGCCUUGAGGAUUUCGGCGAUUCUGACCUAUCUAGAUAAUUGUAGGACAUCUUACGAUAUUGUAUAAUUAGUACUUGUCCUACUAGACUGCACCUAGACUUUCUAUGCUCUGAUUAGGAGUAUUUACUUCUGUAUCUUACUCCUAACACUUCUUGUUUAGUAGUGCACUCUAGUAUAUUCGGUUUUAAUUAUUCAUAUAUUUCUUAUCUUUAUUGCUUCCGCACUGUGUAUAUGGCUACGUCACCCUCACGUGACGGCCAGCAUGCCUUGAUCUCGGUUGGGGUGUGUCAAAAAUGUCACACAAUCAAAAAAAAAAAAAAAAAAAACUUCUAUUUAUAUGUCAAUCUACAUAAAUUUACCUAUAAAUAUUUUAAGUAAAAAAUUAAAUGGAUUUGCAGGUGAGAUUCUUUUAUCGGGGAGGUUUUUUUUUUUUUUUGUUAACACAUGAUAUGAUCUAUACUAAUGGGAAGUGAUGAGCUUAGUCUCAUAAUGAGCUAGUAAUAAUGUAGUUGAAAUUUUUUUUUGACCAAAAUCGAAACUAAAAUCUCUCAUUUACAAAUAAAAAUAAAUACUAUUAUGAUGUAUUACUAAGUUGCUUUUAUUUGAGAGUUUGACCUCGUACAAAGAGGCAACUUCUUUUAUUUUUUUUAUUUUUUUAUGCAAUAUUUGUAACGUGGUGCCCAUUGUCGUCUUGGUGUAAGAUAUAAAGGUCACACUAAUCCUUCUCCCUACGCAACGUAAUCCCCUCCCUAAAUAAUUGGUGAAUAACUUUAAAGUCAUAAAAAAUUGGAUAAAUUACAUAAAAUUACCUUAAUUAUGGGUUGAAUUACAAUCUCAUACCUCAUAUUUUAAAAAUUACAAUGUCAUACCUUAUUUUACAAAUUUGUUGCAAUGUCAGACAUCCGUCAGUUUUCUGUCAAUUUUUUUGUUAAAUGCUAAUGUAGUUUAAAACGAGGCUUACUCCUUAGCCCAACUAGAUUAAAAAAUUAAAUAAAAUUAAAAAUUAAAAAAUAAACAUUUUAACAUUUUAAUUAAAAAAUGUGGGACCCACCCUUUACAACUAAAAGUAAAAUCACCCUUCUUCCCCAUUCUACCGGCAACAACGACCUCGCCCAUCUCCGAGCACCCCAACCUUGCCCAUCUACUCUGCAACUCCAAAAUGCCCUUCGCCACCACCCCCAUGACCUCCACCCGCCUCACCAUCACCACCCUAAAGUUAACCCCGCCAAACCCAUCUCUUUCAAAUGCUUAACCACCACUACCCACAUCCAAGGAUAGUGGGCUAUUGGCUAACUAGGAUUUAAUAGAAGAUGAGUAAUGGGUGGGCUAUUGGCUA